AUGCGCAGCGUGCAGGGCUGCUCACAUACACCAGCGUCACCUGAUGCUAUAGGAAGCGCUGCUUCACGAGCAUGAAAUGCUUGGGUGCGUUUUGUGCAGUGCGUGGAAGAGCGCGUACGCUAGACGCGGAGUUGACCACGCUCAAGUCGAUAGAUCUGCAUAGUGCUACGAUAAGCAGUCAUCUCGGGAAUACCGCUGGUGCCGGCACACGCUUGGCAUACAACCCCUGAACACUGGACGCCGGCGUUGCGGACGUUCGCUAAUGCCGUCGCGGUGUCUCGUGAGCGACUAGCCAGGAUGGCUGCGGUAGCAGCGACGCUUGCAGAAAAGCAUAUCGAUCGGUCUGAGUACCCACGGCAGUGGCCGAAUGCACUCGCGACAGCGAAUACCACUUGAACAUCGAUCGGGAAGUCGUGCACAACGCGUCCGACGUAUGAGGCGAUGCCGCAUACUCAUGACGUGAUGCGUUGCGUUGCGUUGCGUGCAGAGCCCGUCGGAAAUCGGUACGGUUUAGAAUUCUCCUCCGUCUUGGGUUGUGAUGCUCAGUUUGCAGAACAACUUAUCGCGUGGGCGUCAUUCAAACGGAUUUUUCUCACUUACUUUGCCGUCCAGCGCGAUCGCAGUGGCGCUCGCACCAACGCCUCCCUGCCCAUCCGGGGCUGCUGACGCGUCUCCGGUUUGUGUCUCUGCUCGAGCCGUCGAUUCCUGCUCCGUUCUCGAUACCUUUUCCUGCCACAACUCGUCAAACAGCCCCGAAUCGCGCGGUGACGUGCGCGAUUGCGAUUGUAAAGCAAGCGCACCACGGCUCGUCACAACUGGUGGCGGCACCGCAGCCGCUGCAGCCGGUACCGGCAUGUCGGCCGAAUGCGACGCUGACGGCUCCGCCGCCGUCAGCGACAACAGCGCCGUGUGACCCACUGCUGGCAGACGCGUGGUUUCGUUCGACCACGCCCCGGCAGCCUGUUGCGCGUCUUCAUUGCCACCAUCGGACUCAAAGGGGUUCCGAGCCGCUGACGUUGAAGCGGUUCCGGGCAUGUUCGCGGCAUCUCCCGCCGCGUACAUCGCAUACGCAUUUCCACCAGGAUAGGCGCCGUACGGCAUGCCAUACAUCAUGGACGCACCGGGUGGCGCUUGGCCACUGGGAACGUUGCCCAUCUGGGGCGCCGCGCCUCCGUACCCAUAAGCCGCCGCAUACGGAUAGCCGUACGGGUUCCAGGCAGCACCAGCGUAUGGAUACCCCUGGUUGUAAUACGCCGGGUGCAUGUACGGAUAGCCGGGCGGCACACCGUAGGCAUUCUGCGCAGCGGAAGAUGCCGAAGCGUAAGAUCCGUACUGUGUACUGGGCGGUGACUCGAUGUAGUACGCUGGCGGCUGCGCUGCCGCUGUAGCCGCCGUGUCGGCUCGGGUACGGCUCGCUUGACUGCUGUGCACUGGUUGCGGCUGCAACGCCGGCUGUUUGUGCUUCCUGGAGCUAGAGGCUCCGCUGCCGCGUCCCUGUCCGGAAAUCGCACUCGAGCGCUCUUUCUCAAAUGCCUCGUCCUCGUCAUCCUCGUCGUCUGAAUUCAGCCAGAGCAGUGUGUCCUCCUUUGUCGCUGCGC